CAGGAGGAGAAAGCCAGGAGUUCAGUAUGGCCUCUCCUUCCAAGGCUCAUAGGUUGAAGGCUAGAGCCCAGCCAGUGGUGUUACAGAGAGGUGGUCAGAUCACGAUAGUACUAACUUCAUUGCUAGGUUAAUCUAUUGAUGAGUUCAUAAUAGAUGAGUGACUAGGAAGUGGGGCUUGUUGGAGGAAGUAGAGGAAGUGUCUUAUUCCCAGAAUCUUCUCGUUCUCUCCUUCGCUUCCUAGCUACCAAGAGGAUGAAGACCCUGGAAGGAAGAGUCUCCCUGGAGGCCUGGAAAGAACCAACUGAUGGAGUUACUGCAAGAUACCCAGGACCUGUAUGUUAACUUCCUAGCUCCAGGUCACGAUGUCUGCCGCCUGUCACCCAUACCCACUAAUAAGUGCCUUCUGCCUCCUGUCCCCUCUCAUUCUUGCCCGGGGCCCCUCCCCAACAAGCUUUUCAGGAACCAUCUUAUACCAAUAUCCCAAGCAAGGAUUCCUAUAACAGGGAAGUGGUAACAGGAUGGGGUGGCUUCAUGUUUCCCUCAGGGUGCCCUGGGGUGAGCCACUGCCAUAGUAAACUAUAAA